rnacentral:rRNA from 1 species
AACGAACGCUGGCGGCAUGCCUAACACAUGCAAGUCGAACGAGACCUUCGGGUCUAGUGGCGCACGGGUGCGUAACGCGUGGGAACCUGCCCUUAGGUUCGGAAUAACUCCCCGAAAGGGGUGCUAAUACCGGAUAAUGUCUUCGGACCAAAGAUUUAUCGCCUUUGGAUGGGCCCGCGUUGGAUUAGCUAGUUGGUAGGGUAAAAGCCUACCAAGGCGACGAUCCAUAGCUGGUCUGAGAGGAUGAUCAGCCACACUGGGACUGAGACACGGCCCAGACUCCUACGGGAAGCAGCAGUGGGGAAUAUUGGACAAUGGGCGAAAGCCUGAUCCAGCAAGGCCGCGUGAGUGAUGAAGGCCUUAGGGUUGUAAAGCUCUUUUAACCGGGAUGAUAAUGACAGUACCGGGAGAAUAAGCUCCGGCUAACUCCGUG